CUGAAGAAUUUCAGGAAAAGUAUCAAAAUUCAUAAGUAUUGAAAUGGGGACAGGAAAAAGUUUUUUUUAUCCCUCCUUUAUUUCCAUUUUUUUUUUUUUUCUAUAAAUUUCAAUAUGAACAUACAUUGAGUAUUUUAUGAACAUUCAAGUCAGGAGCCUGUAAUUUAGUGGUUGUCGUUUGUUUAUGUGUUACAUAUUUGUUUUUCAUUCAUUCUUACAUUAAUAAAGCCGUUAGCUUUUCUCGUUUGAAUUAUUUUACAUUGCAUUUUGGGCCUUUUAUUGCGGACUAUGCCAUAGCCAGAAAUUAGUAGUGGUUUUGCUAUUUAAUAUUCAUAAUAUGUAAAUGAGAAUUGUACCACGUGAUAGUAGUUUGAACUGGACUGGC
rnacentral:lncRNA from 1 species